rnacentral:rRNA from 1 species
UACGUAGGGUGCAAGCGUUAAUCGGAAUUACUGGGCGUAAAGCGUGCGCAGGCGGUUAUAUAAGUCAGCUGUGAAAUCCCCGGGCUUAACCUGGGAACUGCAGUUGAGACUGUAUGGCUAGAGUGUGUCAGAGGGGGGUAGAAUUCCACGUGUAGCAGUGAAAUGCGUAGAUAUGUGGAGGAAUACCGAUGGCGAAGGCAGCCCCCUGGGAUAACACUGACGCUCAUGCACGAAAGCGUGGGGAGCAAACAGG